rnacentral:rRNA from 1 species
GACGAACGCUGGCGGCGUGCUUAACACAUGCAAGUCGAACGGAAAGGCCCUGCUUUUGUGGGGUGCUCGAGUGGCGAACGGGUGAGUAACACGUGAGUAACCUGCCCUUGACUUUGGGAUAACUUCAGGAAACUGGGGCUAAUACCGGAUAGGAGCUCCUGCUGCAUGGUGGGGGUUGGAAAGUUUCGGCGGUUGGGGAUGGACUCGCGGCUUAUCAGCUUGUUGGUGGGGUAGUGGCUUACCAAGGCUUUGACGGGUAGCCGGCCUGAGAGGGUGACCGGGCACAUUGGGACUGAGAUACGGCCCCGAGUCCUACGGGGGGCAGCAGUGGGGAAUAUUGCACAAAGGGCGGAAGCCUGAGGCAGCAACGCCGCGUGCGGGAUGACGGCCUUUGGGUUUUAAACCCCUUUCCGCUGUGACGAAGGGGGAGUGACGGUAAUUGGUAAAGAAGCACCGGCUAACUACGUG